ensembl:lncRNA
ACAGGGGGAUCCAGGAGCGCUCCUCUGGAUCAUAACCCUAACCUGACAAAACCUUGACAAACUGCUGUCUGCGUCACAAAAAUGGCUGCAUUUUUGACAAAUUCAUAAAGUAACAGUUUAGCUACCGUUGGCUUAAAGGCCUGUGGUAUAUAGCCACUCACCUUUUACUAUUUGACAGAACUGGCUCGCUGCCACUUUAUCCUCUUCUGCAAAAGAAAAUUUGUUAAAAUUGUUCAAAGUUAAAAGGUCGCCUUUGGAUGAGCAGCUGCAAGUAGAGCUGUAUAGAGAGAUUCAUUUGAAAAGAUGUUAGGACAAAAAAAAGAGCCCGAAACAAAAGAAAAACCAACCAACAAAAUCACACAUCAAACACAGACACAUUAAUGUAUAUACACAAAGCCAUUUGUUUUUGUUUUUUUAUUUUUAGAUAUUUUGGAGAAAGAAUCACCAACAACCAAAGUGAACUCACCAUGUACCAUGACCACAGAAGAAGUCUCAAGAAAGAUAAACACAAAAUCAUGAUUUACCUUGACCACAGGUAUGACAUACAAUUCAUGUGAAUAUUAACACUGAUCAUCACACAUCACUUCUUAAAUCUUAGAUCUUAAAUAUUUCUGGUGCUUUUACAGCAGAAUUGAGUCUCAGCAGUUUCAGUGCUUCCACUUCUACCACUUCUGUCAUCUCACCAUCAGGUAAUUAAAUUACUGAUGUUUUAUUUGUGACAAUAGUUAAUAAUAAAUCAGAGCAGACAUUAAUCUCCUUUUCAGUUAGAGAUGAGAUGUGUUUGUGGUUUCCUAAACAGGAAUGAGGACACUGACUGUUGUGCUGGUCGUCGUUGGUUCUGGUGUAACUGUGGGUGCCAUCUUAUUGGUACUGGCACUUUUCAGAUCUAAAAGAAGAACUGGCGAAAUCUCAAUCAGUUAAUAUGUGAAAGUGUGCAGAUGUAUAUGAGAGUUAGAGUGUAAUAUUAACAUUUCACACUGAGUGGAUUAAUACUGACUACAGUGUCUUUUUCUUACAAGCAGUUUUGUAGUCAGAUUUGUUGUUAGAGGCUCUUCUGUUUCACAGACGUCUCACUGAAUCAGAGCUUGUCAGUUUGUAAUUAAAGGCUGUAAAGCUGAUCUGAUGCCCAACAUGACCCCAGCAGACUAACUGUCACUUCUUUAUUGCUGUUUGUUCCAGAGGGAUAUUCUCUAAAGAGGUAAGAAACCUGUUUUCAGCAAACCUGAGUAGUAAGUAUUUUUUUGUUAUCACUUGUAUAGGCAGAAGUUAAACUUACUGACUUUAGAUUGUUUUCUUAUUCAGCAACUAAGAAUUAUUGAGUUGUGGAUUAAAUGCCUUGCUCAGGGGCAGUGGGGCACUUCAGGGCAGAAAGUCCAUUCACUUUCCUGUGAAACAGCCUUUAAAGUACUAACCAAACAGAGUAAUACGAUCGGUCUAUGGAGAAUAAUCAGCAUUUAUAUUAGUUUUUGUUUAAUUUUUCAAUUAAUUUUCCUUUUUUUAUGUUUAGGACAACAGCCAUCAUCCAAGGUGUUAGAUUAAUUUAGCAGCAUCAAUGUGUUGUUAAUUUAUACAAUACCCAGUACAGUAUUUAUUUACUUAUUUAUUUAUUUACCUCCUGCUGCAGAUGACUUUGUGUGCAUGACAAGUAUUGACCCUGGAAGAAUGGUAAAUAAAUGAAAAUGCUUGUCAAAUCUUACACUAAUAUAACUAAUAUAAUUAAAGGUGUGUUAACUUUUAAUGUAUUAUUAAUGGAUUUUUUCAUUUAAUGUCCUCUUUCCUGUUGUUUUAAGUUACCUGAAGGUGAUGAUGGAGCCUACAGUGUGAUCACUUCAAUACCUGGUGCCAGCUGUGCUACUGGUGAGCUGUUUUUAUUUAUUUAUUUAUUUUUAUUAACCUUUUUUGCUUUACACCUCCUUAAAUACUGUAGUACUGGGGGAAUUACAAAUGGCAAUGUUGUAAUUAUAUUAUUAUACCAUAGCAGGUUUUAUGUGGGGGCAGAGGUUGUUGAAGGGAUGACAUAAUAUGUGACAACUGGGGUACCUCAACAGCAAUAUGAAAACAGAUAUUUAUAUAUAUGCUGUAAAUUGUACAUUGUUAUGGAUGUUUGGUGAGACUUGUGUUUGAAAAUAAGUUAAAUAUGGCAGCACCUUAUCUGCAAUAACACACAGCUACACAGUUUUUAAUUAUACUUGUGGACAUCCACCAUCCACCAGGGGCUGCUGCAGGACCCUCAGUGUCCCUAAUCCCUGCAGUCCUGACAGCUUUAUAGAGAAUGUACAAUAGAUUCCUCAGUUUGUCUGCAGAUUUAAUUGUUUACAAGGUGUUUCUUUCAAAGUAUGACAAAGUGAAUACUAUAUCAUAUAAAGAGUUGCACCACUGAAAAAGCAAAUCUUUCAGUAACAUCGUUGCUUUUAUUUUUCUAUUGCAUGAAAAACACCAACAAAUUAUUUUGCUGCUUUGUGAUGAGGAAAACGAUGACAUGACAAGCUCAUGAUGUUUCAGGUCCUC